rnacentral:rRNA from 2 species
AGAAGCGCAUACGGUGGAUGCCUUGGCAGUCAGAGGCGAUGAAAGACGUGGUAGCCUGCGAAAAGCUUCGGGGAGUCGGCAAACAGACUGUGAUCCGGAGAUGUCUGAAUGGGGGAACCCAGCCAUCAUAAGAUGGUUAUCUUGUACUGAAUACAUAGGUGCAAGAGGCGAACCAGGGGAACUGAAACAUCUAAGUACCCUGAGGAAAAGAAAUCAACCGAGAUUCCCUUAGUAGUGGCGAGCGAACGGGGACCAGCCCUUAAGUUGUAUUGAGAUUAGCGGAACGUUCUGGAAAGGACGGCCAUAGUGGGUGAUAGCCCUGUACGCGAAAAUCCCUUUGCAAUGAAAUCGAGUAGGACGGGGCACGAGAAACCUUGUCUGAAUAUGGGGGGACCAUCCUCCAAGGCUAAAUACUACUGACUGACCGAUAGUGAACCAGUACCGUGAGGGAAAGGCGAAAAGAACCGCGGAGAGCGGAGUGAAAUAGAUCCUGAAACCGUAUGCGUACAAGCAGUGGGAGCCCACUUUGUUGGGUGACUGCGUACCUUUUGUAUAAUGGGUCAGCGACUUAUUUUCAGUGGCGAGCUUAACCGAAUAGGGGAGGCGUAGCGAAAGCGAGUCUUAAUAGGGCGUCUAGUCGCUGGGAAUAGACCCGAAACCGGGCGAUCUAUCCAUGGGCAGGUUGAAGGUUGGGUAACACUAACUGGAGGACCGAACCGACUACCGUUGAAAAGUUAGCGGAUGACCUGUGGAUCGGAGUGAAAGGCUAAUCAAGCUCGGAGAUAGCUGGUUCUCCUCGAAAGCUAUUUAGGUAGCGCCUCAUGUAUCACUGUAGGGGGUAGAGCACUGUUUCGGCUAGGGGGUCAUCCCGACUUACCAAACCGAUGCAAACUCCGAAUACCUACAAGUGCCGAGCAUGGGAGACACACGGCGGGUGCUAACGUCCGUCGUGAAAAGGGAAACAACCCAGACCGUCAGCUAAGGUCCCAAAGUCAUGGUUAAGUGGGAAACGAUGUGGGAAGGCUUAGACAGCUAGGAGGUUGGCUUAGAAGCAGCCACCCUUUAAAGAAAGCGUAAUAGCUCACUAGUCGAGUCGGCCUGCGCGGAAGAUGUAACGGGGCUCAAACCAUGCACCGAAGCUACGGGUAUCAUCUUAUGAUGAUGCGGUAGAGGAGCGUUCUGUAAGCCUGUGAAGGUGAGUUGAGAAGCUUGCUGGAGGUAUCAGAAGUGCGAAUGCUGACAUGAGUAACGACAAUGGGUGUGAAAAACACCCACGCCGAAAGACCAAGGUUUCCUGCGCAACGUUAAUCGACGCAGGGUUAGUCGGUCCCUAAGGCGAGGCUGAAAAGCGUAGUCGAUGGAAAACAGGUUAAUAUUCCUGUACUUCUGGUUAUUGCGAUGGAGGGACGGAGAAGGCUAGGCCAGCCUGGCGUUGGUUGUCCAGGUUUAAGGUGGUAGGCUGAGAUCUUAGGUAAAUCCGGGAUCUUAAGGCCGAGAGCUGAUGACGAGUGUUCUUUUAGAACACGAAGUGGUUGAUGCCAUGCUUCCAAGAAAAGCUUCUAAGCUUCAGGUAACCAGGAACCGUACCCCAAACCGACACAGGUGGUUGGGUAGAGAAUACCAAGGCGCUUGAGAGAACUCGGGUGAAGGAACUAGGCAAAAUGGCACCGUAACUUCGGGAGAAGGUGCGCCGGUGGAGGUGAAGCAUUUACUGCGUAAGCCCCUGCCGGUCGAAGAUACCAGGCCGCUGCGACUGUUUAUUAAAAACACAGCACUCUGCAAACACGAAAGUGGACGUAUAGGGUGUGACGCCUGCCCGGUGCCGGAAGGUUAAUUGAUGGGGUUAGCGCAAGCGAAGCUCUUGAUCGAAGCCCCGGUAAACGGCGGCCGUAACUAUAACGGUCCUAAGGUAGCGAAAUUCCUUGUCGGGUAAGUUCCGACCUGCACGAAUGGCGUAACGAUGGCGGCGCUGUCUCCACCCGAGACUCAGUGAAAUUGAAAUCGCUGUGAAGAUGCAGUGUAUCCGCGGCUAGACGGAAAGACCCCGUGAACCUUUACUAUAGCUUUGCACUGGACUUUGAAUUUGCUUGUGUAGGAUAGGUGGGAGGCUUUGAAGCGUGGACGCCAGUCUGCGUGGAGCCAACCUUGAAAUACCACCCUGGCAACUUUGAGGUUCUAACUCAGGUCCGUUAUCCGGAUCGAGGACAGUGUAUGGUGGGUAGUUUGACUGGGGCGGUCUCCUCCUAAAGAGUAACGGAGGAGUACGAAGGUGCGCUCAGACCGGUCGGAAAUCGGUCGUAGAGUAUAAAGGCAAAAGCGCGCUUGACUGCGAGACAGACACGUCGAGCAGGUACGAAAGUAGGUCUUAGUGAUCCGGUGGUUCUGUAUGGAAGGGCCAUCGCUCAACGGAUAAAAGGUACUCCGGGGAUAACAGGCUGAUACCGCCCAAGAGUUCAUAUCGACGGCGGUGUUUGGCACCUCGAUGUCGGCUCAUCACAUCCUGGGGCUGAAGCCGGUCCCAAGGGUAUGGCUGUUCGCCAUUUAAAGUGGUACGCGAGCUGGGUUUAGAACGUCGUGAGACAGUUCGGUCCCUAUCUGCCGUGGACGUUUGAGAUUUGAGAGGGGCUGCUCCUAGUACGAGAGGACCGGAGUGGACGAACCUCUGGUGUUCCGGUUGUCACGCCAGUGGCAUUGCCGGGUAGCUAUGUUCGGAAAAGAUAACCGCUGAAAGCAUCUAAGCGGGAAACUUGCCUCAAGAUGAGAUCUCACUGGAACCUUGAGUUCCCUAAAGGGCCGUCGAAGACUACGACGUUGAUAGGUUGGGUGUGUAAGCGCUGUGAGGCGUUGAGCUAACCAAUACUAAUUGCCCGUGAGGCUUGACC